UUGAGCUUUUGUGAGGUGUGAAUUUUGACUCUCCUUGCUGGCUUGUUGUUGUGCUGUUUCCUGUUGUGUUUCUGUCCCUACCCAGAUGCAGCCUAACGCCAGUCACCUGUGCCAUGAGGUACACCUGGGCCCUUUCCUUAUGAAGUCACUACCUCCCCUGGUGUGAAAGCACAGAGACGGAGGCUGCGGUCGGAUAGUCAAAAAAGAAAAACAUUACGUUGUAAAGAUAGAGAAAGGAAGCACUGAAACACCUUUCCUCAGCAUGUAGAGAAUUGGACCAGCUCUCGUCAUGGCUGCCUCUUAGAUACUUCAGGCUUAUUUCAGUCAGUUAGGAACCUUUUUAAACAAAAAAUACUUACAGGCCACACACACACACACACACACACACACACACAAAAACAGCUUUAGAUGCAACACAUAAAAUGUAGCUUGUAGUUUUGGAAAAAUUCUGCAUCCUCAUCAGACAGCUUCCACCCCUGGCCAAUCAGCACACACGCACACACACAUCAACCCAUGGGACAUACACGGAAGACAGACAAACGCACACACACACACACACACACACACACAUCAACCCAUGAGACAUACACAUAAGAUAGACAAACACAGAGGUCUACUUCCAGAGGCUGUCAAGGACGGAGACUCCUUCUGAGCAUUCGGAGAACAAAUAACGGAACAGCCUCGCUAGUGUGCAGGUGUGAACAGCCUCGCUAGUGUGCAGGUGUGAACAGCCUCUCUAGUGUGCAGAUGGGAACAGCCUCUCUACCUCGCUAGUGUGCAGGUGUGAACAGCCUCGCUAGUGUGCAGGUGUAAAUGGAGUUAUAUGGAUAUACUAGAGACAUAUAGUUUGUCUGAGUCAUAUAGUUAUAUAUCUCUGCAGUAGGUGGCUGUGAGUUAUAUGGAUAUAGAUACAUAUGAUAUGUCUGUCUGAGUCAUAUAGAGUUAUAUAUCUCUGGCAGUAGGGACUACUUGCAGCCCAGCAGGAGCCCAGGACAGGUCGACAGCCAGGAGGCAGCUGCCUUUGUGGACGAGAAGAGGGCAGAGCUCAUCAGCAGGGUGACAGAGGUGAUGCUCAUAGCCGACAAGCUCCUCUCUGAGUUCCUCCCUGAGCUCCUCUCCGAGCUCCUCUCCAUCGUUCCGGAGACCUCCUCUAACAUCCAAGCUUCUGGGCUGCAGUACCAUGGCUAGUCAGCGGGGGAUGACAAUGAGCUGGUACUGGUGAUGGACGUUGGCAAAGAUGCUGAGCUCUGGGGUGUUAUUGCUGAAUGGUCCUCCAGAGUUGCAGAGCUCUGGGGUGUUAUUGCUGGAUGGUCCUCCAGGGGUGCAGAGCUCUGGGGUGUUAUUGCUGGAUGGUCCCUUAGGGGUGCAGAGCUCUGGGGUGUUAUUGCUGGAUGGUCCUCCAGGGGUGCUGAGCUCUGGGGUGUUAAUGCUGGAUGGUCCUCCAGGGGUGCUGAGCUCUGGGGUGUUAUUGCUGGAUGGUCCUCCAGGGGUGCUGAGGUGGAACUGCUGCACUAUGGACACCAGGAAGAGCAGGAGCUCCAUCCACACCAGUGAUUCACCCACACACGCCUGCUUACCUGGCACACACACAAACACACACGCACACACACACACCCACAAACAUUUGGUGUAUGAUUCAUCAUACAUAGACUUAGAAUGAGAAAAAAAACAAAUGGAGCUUAUUUGUAUUGUACAAUUAAACAUUGAACAAUGUAAAAUAAACUAUAACUUGUAAACUUCCAGGGAGUUAAUUUCCCCAGGUUAUUAAACAGCAUUUCUCUUUGUUUUAGGGCAGACUAGUAGGAUCUCAGUUUUGUCCUUGUUUAACUUAAGAAAUGAUUGCUCUUCCACUUAUUUCUCGCCAAAAGACCGGUAGUAAUAGAGUUUAUAGCUGCAGCAAAAUUUGGUUCAGCAGAGAUGUAUAGUUGCUUGUCAUCCGCAUAACUAUGGAAACAUAUAUUGUGUUCUCUAAUGAUGUCCCGAAGUGGCAGCAUGUAUAGUGAGAAUAAUAAUGGACCAAGGCAGCUCCUGUCACGGAACUGACGGACACAGAGAUGUAGUUUUCGGAAACAGAGUUUAUUGCGGACGAACAGCCAGGGAACAAACACGACAGACCAACAGGUUGCAGGGAACACAGACGAUGAGGAACAGAUCCUCACACGUAGAUACACGUGGUGGACAAACCCACGGAGGGGCACAGGCUCGAAGCACAGGCUCAUGAAACAGGCACGGAAGGCGCAGAAAGGGAAUGACAGAGUCCAACUCUCUAAACUAUCUAAACCAAACGCCGUAGCGUAAAACAAAACACUCGAGUCAAACUCGACAAGACUAUGAACUAAACUAUACCUAAGGCUAUGAAACAAACAAAGGUUAACUCGGAUACGAACAGCGAUGAUACUCAUCAAACAUCAGGAACUGGAAGGUAAUCCUUGUAGUGCGAGACCAGACACAGAGUGAAGGGAGUGCGAGGUAUAUGUAGGGAAGUGACAGGUGUGGGUGAUCAGUAUUCAGGUGAGUGUGAACGCGUUUAUUUGGACUGAAACUAUCUUUUCAAGUAUUUUACUAAUGAAUGGAAGAUUGGAUAUCGGCCUAUAGCUGGUCAGUACAUUACCAUGUAGGUUGGGUUGCUUUAGUAAGGGUUUUACAACAGCUGUUUUGAAGGCAUCUGGGAAGAUGCCUGUUCGAAGAGAUGUAUUUAUAAUCCCAUUCCCAUCAUUUUAGUUUUGUAUUGAGAAUAUUCAGUUUACAGUAUGGUAGUGGGCAUUUUUUUUGAUAAUGUGACUCCUUA
ensembl:lncRNA